CGCCCAACAGCUAGCCCCAAACCCAAAACCAACCCUAAAUUACAUAUACCCCCAAAAACACUUAAAUUCUUAAACUAAAUCAUUCUACUCACCCAGUAUAGGCGAUAGAAAAG
rnacentral:rRNA from 1 species